GCACGCUGUCCUCUCCUGUGGCUCAGAGCAGGUCAUCUCCCUGCUUUUCGUUAACAGUGAUGUAACAGCCCUUGCUUAACGGAGGGCUCCUCACGUGCCAGCUACUGCAUACUAAGCACUUUAAACGUAUUAACUCAUUUCCUCCCCUCCCCACAAAAACUUAAGAAGUCGGUGCCAUUAUAUAUCACCUAUUUUACCAAAUGGGGAAACUAAAGCACAGAGAGGUUAAGUAACUUGCCCAAGGUCACAGAGCUGCUGACAACUUCUUUAUUGCCUCCAGGCUGAACAUAAACUCCAAGAAAGUCCCAUGAGGCUCUUUGGAUCUCUUUUGCCCCUGUUGUUUGCAGGAACCCAUCUCCCACCACUCUCCCCCACCCACACUGCAAGCGGCAGCCGCCUGAGCUAUAUUUAGAUCCCAGAAGCCACCAAGCUCCCUCCGCACUCCCCGCCCUUGUGCAUGCUGUUCCCUCUGCCUGGUCCCGGCUCUGUGAGGUGUGAGGUCUCCCCGUUAGCCCUAGUUUUCUUUCUGCCUCCUGGGAACCGUGUCCACCACCUCUCCACUUUGAUCAAUUAUUUCCUUGCCGUUGUCUGUCGGCCUGUCAGCCUACCCCCACCCGACCGAGAACGCCUUGACGGUAGUGAAAUGGUCUUGCCAAUAGACUCCAGAGCAGGCUCCGCCACGAUGUCAGCGCCAGGAAAUGUUGGUGAAUGAAUGAAUGAAGGCUUUCUGCUGCGAAUCAGGCCCACUCUCCACAAACAGACCUGAGGAGAGGGGCCCAGGCCCGGCCCCCAGCGCUUCUGCAGCGGGAAAGCUGCGUCCAGAGAAGGCUGGGAGGUUGCUCCCAGGCCGGCUGAGGAGAGACCCUCGGAGCCUUCAACGCAGCCAGGCGGCAAGUGGGGGCAGGGCGUGGGCGCGGACACACCCCCCGCAGUGCCCCC
rnacentral:lncRNA from 1 species